AGUGAACGCUGGCGGUAGGCCUAACACAUGCAAGUCGAACGGCAGCACAGUAAGAGCUUGCUCUUACGGGUGGCGAGUGGCGGACGGGUGAGGAAUACAUCGGAAUCUACUUUUUCGUGGGGGAUAACGUAGGGAAACUUACGCUAAUACCGCAUACGACCUACGGGUGAAAGAAGGGGAUCUUCGGACCUUGCGCGAAUGAAUGAGCCGAUGUCGGAUUAGCUAGUUGGCGGGGUAAAGGCCCACCAAGGCGACGAUCCGUAGCUGGUCUGAGAGGAUGAUCAGCCACACUGGAACUGAGACACGGUCCAGACUCCUACGGGAGGCAGCAGUGGGGAAUAUUGGACAAUGGGCGCAAGCCUGAUCCAGCCAUACCGCGUGGGUGAAGAAGGCCUUCGGGUUGUAAAGCCCUUUUGUUGGGAAAGAAAAGCAGCAGGUUAAUACCCCGCUGUUCUGACGGUACCCAAAGAAUAAGCACCGGCUAACUUCGUG
rnacentral:rRNA from 1 species